AUUGCUUCUCAGCCAAUUGACUAAGAUCAAGUGUCAGUAUCUAUUAUUAUCAGUGCAAUAUCUGGUAUGUCUGCUACUUGUGGACUGUUCGUAUUAAAUAUAUUUUUGGAACUGGGAGAUAGAAUAGGAACUUGUUCCAUUCGCUCCCUGCAUCAACUGGGUAUUGCAGUAUUCCAGGAAUAGUGCACCACAA
ensembl:snRNA U2 U2 spliceosomal RNA